rnacentral:rRNA from 1 species
CCUACGGGAGUCAGCAGUGAGGAAUAUUGGUCAAUGGACGAGAGUCUGAACCAGCCAAGUAGCGUGAAGGAUGACUGCCCUAUGGGUUGUAAACUUCUUUUAUAUGGGAAUAAAACGUUCCACGUGUGGGAUUUUGUAUGUACCAUAUGAAUAAGGAUCGGCUAACUCCGUGCCAGCAGCCGCGGUAAUACGGAGGAUCCGAGCGUUAUCCGGAUUUAUUGGGUUUAAAGGGAGCGUAGAUGGAUUGUUAAGUCAGUUGUGAAAGUUUGCGGCUCAACCGUAAAAUUGCAGUUGAAACUGGCAGUCUUGAGUACAGUAGAGGUGGGCGGAAUGCGUGGUGUAGCGGUGAAAUGCUUAGAUAUCACGAAGAACUCCGAUUGCGAAGGCAGUUCACUGGACUGCAACUGACACUGAGGCUCGAAAGUGUGGGUAUCAAACAGGAUUAGAUACCCGGGUAGUC